GGGCACCAAAGAGCACUGAAGUUAAGGUGACAAAAAAAUUCUGUGAGCCGCCGAACAGAGGAGCGUGUCCAGACCCGACCCAGCUGGUUCUCGUACCAUAUUAAUUUGGCAGCAGGAGCUGAACCAGCUCUGAGCGCGUCCUUUUCUGAUGGAUAGGAUUUCCCCGGCGUCCAGCUCUGAAUCCUGCUCCUCUCCAGCCUUCCAGAGUCUGGAAAAAAGGGACCCCGUGGAGAAGGGAGCAGAAAGAAGAGGGAGAGAGCAGGAGGAAAUGAAAACGGCUUGUGAGAAACGGUGGGAGAGAAAAAUAGCAGCUGAAGGGUGAAGUCAUUUGUAAGUGACAGAGUCCUGCAACUGGGAGCUUAAACAGCUAGUCUGUAGGACUUUAUACGAAUAGCUAAGCCCUUUUUCCUUAUCCUACUAGGCAGAUAUUAAUAGCAACCCUGUUCCGAUGCGUGAGGACGCAGUGAGUUCAUUUUCGUGGAAGUGCCUAGGAUGGCGCCUUGUCAUAGAAGGUGAUGAAUUUAAUCCUGAAACUAAGGUUCAACAGAAAGCCGUUUGGUGGCAUUUCAUGUUAGAUGUAGCCGUUUCAGUGACAGAGAAAGGCAGGCCCAAAAGGAAGGAGCAAUUUUGGGCCUAGCCAAAGCGUCAGUCUGCGUUUCUCCUUCAAUGCUCCUCUUUGAUGAUCCUUUCCGCCCUUGUAACCCUACGUUUCUCACACGCUGGAGCUGCUGAGGUCAUGUGGCCAGGAGGUCGAAUUUCCCAGUUUUUAAAACAAGAGUUUUUAACCCAAAGAUGGUGGUGGAUGGGUAACAGAAAAGAAGAGAACUUCCCCAGACUCUCCAGCAUUCAAGACGGAAUGUGGGUCUCUCCAAAUCACCUGCCUUUGAUUCUGGCUGAGCUGGGACCUCACCCGCGGGUUAGCCGCUUGGGACAGGGCCCCCCGUAUUUCUCCUGGAGGAGACAGCUGUAUUUCACCAGGCAUGAAGUGAUUUAUGUGCACAAUUUAAAUAGUAUUUUGGAGCUCUGAGGAAUGCAAAAUGCAGCAUGACUUGAAGGUACGAUAUACUUAGGGGAAAAUAUGGAAUGUGCUGAAUGUUUUCUUUUCUUUCUUUUAAAGCUAGUUGAAAUCUGUUUCACUGACGAAACUGUUUAACCAUGUACAAAUGUGUAAUUCUGUCUCCUGACAAAAUCGGCAGGAUUGGGAUGAUGGGCCUCGUCAAGGUUGGAAGCAUAGCUUAGUCACCCUGGGGCUGCCCUAAGCCUUAGAUUUAGAAUAUGCUGGAAAAAUAAAAUGACUACUUUUUACAGAUUCAAUACCUGUCUUUUAAG
rnacentral:lncRNA from 1 species